rnacentral:rRNA from 1 species
GAUGAACGCUGGCGGCGUGCUUAACACAUGCAAGUCGAACGGAAAGGCCCAAGCUUGCUUGGGUACUCGAGUGGCGAACGGGUGAGUAACACGUGGGUGAUCUGCCCUGCACUUCGGGAUAAGCCUGGGAAACUGGGUCUAAUACCGGAUAGGACGAUGGUUUGGAUGCCAUUGUGGAAAGUUUUUUCGGUGUGGGAUGAGCUCGCGGCCUAUCAGCUUGUUGGUGGGGUAAUGGCCUACCAAGGCGUCGACGGGUAGCCGGCCUGAGAGGGUGUACGGCCACAUUGGAACUGAGAUAAGGCCCAGACUCCUACGGGAGGCAGCAGGGGGGAAUAUUGCACAAUGGGCGCAAGCCUGAUGCAGCGACGCCGCGUGGGGGAUGACGGCCUUCGGGUUGUAAACUCCUUUCGCUAGGGACGAAGCGUUUUUGUGACGGUACCUGGAGAAGAAGCACCGGCUAACUACGUG